AUUGAACGCUGGCGGCAUGCUUUACACAUGCAAGUCGAACGGUAACAGGCCGCAAGGUGCUGACGAGUGGCGAACGGGUGAGUAAUGCAUCGGAACGUGCCCAGUCGUGGGGGAUAACGCAGCGAAAGCUGCGCUAAUACCGCAUACGAUCUAUGGAUGAAAGCGGGGGACCGUAAGGCCUCGCGCGAUUGGAGCGGCCGAUGUCAGAUUAGGUAGUUGGUGGGGUAAAGGCUCACCAAGCCAACGAUCUGUAGCUGGUCUGAGAGGACGACCAGCCACACUGGGACUGAGACACGGCCCAGACUCCUACGGGAGGCAGCAGUGGGGAAUUUUGGACAAUGGGCGCAAGCCUGAUCCAGCAAUGCCGCGUGCAGGAAGAAGGCCUUCGGGUUGUAAACUGCUUUUGUACGGAACGAAACGGUCCUGGUUAAUACCCGGGGCUAAUGACGGUACCGUAAGAAUAAGCACCGGCUAACUACGUGCCAGCAGCCGCCGCAGUAA
rnacentral:rRNA from 1 species